rnacentral:lncRNA from 1 species
AAAGCCCACCCCACCCCCGACCCCAACCACCCCCUCUGCCGGCGGCGCGACUUCCCCAGAUCCUCCGACGGCGCGACCUCCCCAGACCUCCGGUGGCGCGGCCUCCUAGAUCCUCGCCGCCGCGCCCAAGCUUGGGCGCCGACCUAGCAGCCCCGUGCGCCGCCCUGCCACUUCCCUGCACCGCCGCCUACGCACAACCGCCAUCGCGACCCACCUCCCCGCACCGCCACCUUCCCACCACCGCCGCCACCGGGAUCCACGCACCUCCACGCGUCGCCGGUGCCUGUGCUCGUGGGCGUGCCCGCGUUCUUCCCCGUUGACGAGAUCGAGCGAGUGCCUCCGGUUCCUCUGCCAAGUCUCCUCCCCCACGCGAUGUAGGCCUCCCCGAGGCGCCGCGCGCCAGAAACCCACGGCUGUGUCUCCCGCCCUCCGGCUCUUCCUGACUUCCCCCGGCGAGGCUCCACAGCCACCGCACCGCCUCAUCCCGGUGGGGCUCUUCCACCGUGGUGCCUAGGCCAUUCAAUGACAAAGCCCAGGUAAGUGGCGCAAUGUCCCUCGGAUCCCGCUGCAACCAUGCUAUUCUCGCCAGCGCACCAUCCAUGAUGGGUGCCAUUUUCUGUUUCUUCACUACAUAUGUGAAUCCUCUCCUCAAAUGGCCAGUUGAUGUAGACCGCGUCAUCUUAAAGGAAAACCAGUGACAAUCUGUCGAGUGAAACCGGUGCACUGUCAAGCAAACAUACCUGUGCAGCUGACAAUUUGGCCGGCGGCAGCAACAUUUCUUGGCACGUGGGUGUUGGUUUUGGCGGACAAGCAAGUAGCAACAAGCAGCUGCAGGCAAAAGGUACUAGCAUGUGAAAAAAUAAUUCUAGAUCAACAAUGUUUUACAUCCCGACCCCACUUGUUUAUAAUUUGAUGGUAGGCUGUUAGAUUUAGUCGACAGUUGAUGGUGUCAUGUCGUUCCUACUACUGAAUGAACUCUGAAUUUGUAUGGUCAAUGCUAUGAAUUAUUGAAGCGGAUGGACAGGUUUGUAGAAUACUCAACUAGAUGUGUUAGUCUUCAAACAUCAGCAGAGUUCGUUUUCAAACAGCAAUACCAAUGCACAUCUUCUACAAACAAACAAAAAGGGGAAAUAUGCUAGUCUUACUGCUUAUCUACUCUUAAUUUUGAACUAACAAAAAAUUAUUGAUAUGAACUGGCAGGUGUUUGAUUGGCUCCUCUGACUCCCUUCGCCAUGCCACUCACCUCGCGUCGCUGGACCACCACGGUCACAGGCAGAAUCCUUUCGUUCAGUAUCCAGCGCAAGCAAAUCUAAAUCUGCACACGCAAGCCUUCCGUUGCCGAGUCGGCCCUCCUUCUGCUGACUGCUUCUGCAGUAGCAAGUCACGCCACCUGCACCUGUUAUCACCACAAGACGUUCUACUACACCUAUAUGUUCUACUACAACUAAACGCCGGUGGUGGUGAAGUUCUACUAUGGCUAUACGCUACGUUCUACUACAGUUGUAUGUCAGCGACCAUGAAAAUUCUACUACAGAUGUACGCCAAGUUGUACUACAGUUAUACACCAGCCGUCACUGUUGGAAAUAUGCCCUAGAGGCAAUAAUAAAUGGUUAUUAUUAUAUUUCUUUGUUCAUGGUAAUUGUCUAUUGUUCAUGCUAUAAUUGUAUUGUCCGGAAAUCGUAAUACAUGUGUGAAUAC